GAUGAACGCUGGCGGCGUGCCUAAUACAUGCAAGUCGAGCGAACGGACGAGAAGCUUGCUUUUCUGAUGUUAGCGGCUGACGGGUGAGUAACACGUGGAUAACCUACCUAUAAGACUGGGAUAACUUCGGGAAACCGGAGCUAAUACCGGAUAAUAUUUUGUACCGCAUGGUUCAAAAGUGAAAGACGGUCUUGCUGUCACUUAUAGAUGGUUCCGCGCUGCAUUAGCUAGUUGGUAAGGUAACGGCUUACCAAGGCAACGAUGCAUAGCCGACCUGAGAGGAUGAUCGGCCACACUGGAACUGAGACACGGUCCAGACUCCUACGGGAGGCAGCAGUAGGGAAUCUUCCGCAAUGGGCGAAAGCCUGACGGAGCAACGCCGCGUGAGUGAUGAAGGUCUUCGGAUCGUAAAACUCUGUUAUUAGGGAAGAACAUAUGUGUAAGUAACUGUGCACAUCUUGACGGUACCUAAUCAGAAAGCCACGGCUAACUACGUG
rnacentral:rRNA from 1 species